UACGUAGGGGGCGAGCGUUGUCCGGAGUUACUGGGCGUAAAGCGCACGCAGGCGGUCUGUUAAGUUUGGAGUGACAGUUGGUGGCUCAACCACCAAAGUGCUUUGAAAACUGAUAGACUUGAGGGCUUCAGAGGGACACGGAAUUCCGGGUGGAGUGGUGAAAUGCGUAGAGAUCCGGAGGAAUACCGAUGGCGAAGGCAGGUCUCUGGGCUGACACUGACGCUCAUGCACGAAAGCGUGGGGAGCAAACAGG
rnacentral:rRNA from 1 species